CUACGGGGCGCUGCAGUGAGGAAUAUUGGACAAUGGUCGAAAGACUGAUCCAGCCAUGCCGCGUGCAGGAUGAAUGCCCUAUGGGUUGUAAACUGCUUUUAUACGGGAAGAACACCACCCACGUGUGGGUGACUGACGGUACCGUAAGAAUAAGGACCGGCUAACUCCGUGCCAGCAGCCGCGGUAAUACGGAGGGUCCAAGCGUUAUCCGGAAUCAUUGGGUUUAAAGGGUCCGUAGGCGGGCUAUUAAGUCAGAGGUGAAAGUUUGCAGCUCAACUGUAAAAUUGCCUUUGAUACUGGUAGUCUUGAGUUAUAGUGAAGUGGUUAGAAUAUGUGGUGUAGCGGUGAAAUGCAUAGAUAUCACAUAGAAUACCAAUUGCGAAGGCAGAUCACUAACUAUAUACUGACGCUGAUGGACGAAAGCGUGGGGAGCGAACGGGAUUAGAUACCCCCGUAGUC
rnacentral:rRNA from 1 species